rnacentral:rRNA from 1 species
UACGGGGGGGGUAAGCGUUGUUCGGAAUCACUGGGCGUAAAGGGUGCGUAGGCGGGUCUUUAAGUCAGGGGUGAAAUCCUGGAGCUCAACUCCAGAACUGCCUUUGAUACUGAAGAUCUUGAGUUCGGGAGAGGUAAGUGGAAUUCCGAGUGUAGAGGUGAAAUUCGUAGAUAUUCGGAAGAACACCAGUGGCGAAGGCGACUUACUGGACGACUGUUGACGCUGAGGUGCGAAAGCGUGGGGAGCAAACAGG